UACGAAGGGGGCUAGCGUUGUUCGGAUUUACUGGGCGUAAAGCGCGUGUAGGCGGACUUGUAAGUUGGGGGUGAAAUCCCGAGGCUCAACCUCGGAACUGCCUCCAAAACUACAAGUCUGGAGCAAGAUAGAGGCAAGUGGAAUUGCGAGUGUAGAGGUGAAAUUCGUAGAUAUUCGCAGGAACACCAGUGGCGAAGGCGACUUGCUGGAUCUUUGCUGACGCUGAGACGCGGAAGCGUGGGGAGCAAACAGGG
rnacentral:rRNA from 1 species